rnacentral:misc_RNA from 1 species
GACAAAGCUGCAAGGGGAAAUUCAGGGGGCCUACCAAAUCAAAGUUACCACUACAGCUUUGGCGUUACUUUUAUCUACAAAGCAUGCUGAAUUGGGGAAACUGAAUGUUCAUGGCUAUCUUAUUCAGUCCUCUGCAGGGAUAACUACACGCUCAAAAGCUAAAACAGCUCCAGAUCAAUGGAUGAUGAUGCCUCUUCCUGCCAAGAUACUUGCUUUAUUAGCGGACGCCUUGAUCGAAAUUCAAGAGCAAGUUUUAGUUGGUGGCGACGAGGAUAGCGACUGGGAGGAAGUUCAAGAAGCAGACGUUGAGACGGAUGAAGCCUUAAUUCUAUCAAGCAGUGCCAUACCCCGUGGUAGACCAUCCCAUGAUUACCUUGACGCGAUGGCAAAAGCGUUUGACGAGGACCAGGAUGACGGUGACGAUGAUGACCUUCUUAGUGGUGCCGACCCCCUUAAUGAGAUAAAUCUGGUGAAUUAUCUAGUAGAUUUUCUCAAGAAAUUCUCUCAUAGUGAAGGAGCAAUUUUCAGUCAUCUGUUACAGAAUUUAACGAAAUCUCAACACGAUGCUAUUCAAAUGGUGUUGAAGCAAUGAGGAUUCUUUUGUUGUACAAAAGGUGAGUACAAUGUUCAUUGUGAAAGUAUAUCUGGUUUUGGCCUAAAAUGGUUCUUGGUGAGUGACUAUGCGUUUGUUUGUAAAGCGAAAUUUUAUAAAUUUUUUGAUUAUUUUCUUUCAAUUAAAACGCUUGUAAUUUAAGGUAACGAGUAACAACUUGUAUUUGUUUGAGGCAAUGUAAAUUUACGCGAUGUGAGG